rnacentral:lncRNA from 1 species
AUGAACUUUUUAAUAAUCCAAGGAGGGAGGAAAGCCCUCGGUCCCCUCGGCUCGGGGGGCGCCCAGCCCGGCUCAGCUCGGCGGGCGCGCCCCAUCACCCCCCUCCCACGUCCUCUGCGGACAGCUCUGAGGGGGCGCGCGCACCGCAGGGCCUCCUCCGGUCUCUGCGGCUGGCGUCCGUCUGACUGUCCGAGGCUUUGGAACAGAUUAUCGCAGCCCUUUCAGAGCGCGCACAACAAAUGCGCCCGCCAUCGAAUGCAGCAUUUACCACCGCAGAUCCGCGCGCCGAUGGGCAGGCAGAUAGCGUCCGCGGGGGGCUCGCCGGGCGGCGAGUGUGCGCCCCGGCUCUGCCCGGUGUGUUUGGAGGAACACGUGGGUAUGCCAGCGAGUGGACCCUCAGCAAGCAAGAAUAUGUUCCUGUAG